CUACUCGUGGCGAAGUUGGCAACGCGCCUGUCUAGUGAGUAGGAGUCGUGAGUUCGAGUCUCACCGAGAGGA
rnacentral:tRNA from 1 species